CUUGCUUACACGUUGGAGCUUCCAGGAUUCACCUUGCUGCAGAUAAAUUGCAAACUGCUGCUUUUGCUGCCCGCAGGGCAAGGCCUGAUGUCUGUAUGGUUUCAAUCGAUGCCAAGUGUGUAUUAUAUUUCCUCAAGAUGAAAAGGUUUGAACAGAUAAAAAUGGCAAUAACAAGAAAAGAGCAAGGCCCUAAAAUGUUUAAACAAAACAAGAAACAAAGCAAUCAUCCUGGAUUCUAAAAUGCCGUAGAAUUGUGGAGAUCCACAUGGAGGUUGUAAGGACAAGAAAAAUGAUGCAUGUGACAAAGUUUUGAAGAGUGUGGGAACAUUCUACAUACACGGGUGUGAAUCCAGCAGCCACACUCCUUCCCGCAAGCAGCAGCCGGAAUUCUGCUCAGAACAUCAAGUGGCGUCUGACCACUUCAACCAGUCUCGGAGAUGACAGAUACGUUUACAGUGCUGCCGAACAGAGUCAUAUUAAGUUAUCCAUCUCUGCCAGAUGCUAUUCAUUGCGAGACCUGCCCCAUAAUGAAUCAUGAUGGAUUGCUUCUUUUGGCCAGAGAAUAACUUAACCUCUGACUCGAGAUGGAGGUAUGUUUUCCAUGAAAAGGUGGUUGAAAACCUUUUCCGCUCAGCAGAAAUACUGGCCAAGGAUGUGUGAUGUGCCAAAAGCCGUAUUACAUCCUCAAAGUCUGUGAAAAUAAAUUCCUCCCAACAUAGAAUACAGUUAGUUCCUCAUCUGGGUUUCCAGGAAUUAUGGCUGUUAUUGUACAGUCUAAUUUUAAAUCUGGAGCUUUGUUAUUCAAAGAAAUGUCUCCCCCACCCCUUAUUGUUUUCCCUCCUUGUUCUAUGUGCAUUCUGUUUCAACUUGCAUUGGGUUUCCCCACAAGGAUUCCACUGCAACUCCAGGGCUUGAAUAUCUUGAUAGUUAAUGAAGCAUUAAAAAAAAAGAGAGAGAGCUUUUGCAGUCAUGAGUGUAUUCAAGAGGAUGGACUCUUCAUUUCCACGGAGAAGUACAAUAUGACCAAGUGAGGUGGUUUUAUAUUAACUUCUGGGUGGUGGUGGUGGUGCAAAGAAUGGGAGGAGGCUGUCCUGGCUCUGUAGCCAUGGGACACUUUUCAGUUGUUGGGCAUGGGCAAAGAGCCAUCUUCCAGGAGCCCUUCCCCACUGGUCUUUCCCUCUACCCUCUCCGUCUUUUCCCCAGCCCUGCAGGGAUGUCGCUCCACGUCAGACGGCCGUUAACUUGAGGAAAUGGAGGUCAGUCCCUUUACACACUAACUCUUUCCUUCCUGCCUUUCCAGGUGGGUGUGGAGGAGGUGUUUGGGGGCGUGCACAGCACUGAACGUGGGGCUGAACUCACAUGCUUC